rnacentral:rRNA from 1 species
UUAGGUUAAGUUAGGAAGGGCGCAUGGUGGAUGCCUUGGUACUAGGAGCCGAUGAAGGACGGGACUAACACCGAUAUGCCUCGGGGAGCUGUAAGUAAGCUUUGAUCCGGGGAUUUCCGAAUGGGGCAACCCAAUAGUUUUAAUCGACUAUUAUCCGCAUCUGAAUUCAUAGGAUGUGUGAAGGUAAACGUGGGGAACUGAAACAUCUCAGUACCCACAGGAACAGAAAGAAAAUUCGAUUCCCUGAGUAGCGGCGAGCGAAACGGGAACAGCCCAAACCAAGAAGCUUGCUUCUUGGGGUUGUAGGACUGAACAUUUGAGUUACCAAAGAGCUUGAUAGCUGAAGGGCCUGGGAAGGCCAGCCAGAGAGGGUGACAGCCCCGUAAGUUAAAUCAAACUCCCUCAGUUCAGGAUCCUGAGUACGGCGGAGCACGUGAAAUUCCGUCGGAAUCCGGGAGGGACCAUCCUCCAAGGCUAAAUACUACCUAGUGACCGAUAGCCAGUACCGUGAGGGAAAGGUGAAAAGAACCCCGGGAGGGGAGUGAAAUAGUUCUUGAAACCAUGUGCCUACAAGAAGUCAGAGCCCGUUAAUGGGUGAUGGCGUGCCUUUUGUAGAAUGAACCGGCGAGUUACGUUCGUAUGCCAGGUUAAGUUGAAGAGACGGAGCCGAAGCGAAAGCGAGUCUGAAGAGGGCGAAUUAGUAUGCGGAUGUAGACCCGAAACCAAGUGACCUACCCAUGUCCAGGUUGAAGGUGCGGUAAAACGCACUGGAGGACCGAACUCGUGUACGUUGAAAAGUGCUGAGAUGACUUGUGGAUAGCGGUGAAAUUCCAAUCGAGCUCGGAGAUAGCUGGUUCUCCCCGAAAUAGCUUUAGGGCUAGCCUCGGAAUUAGGAUCGUGGAGGUAGAGCCACUGUUUGGACUAGGGGCCCGUCAUGGGUUACCGAAUUCAGAUAAACUCCGAAUGCCAUCGAUUUAUGUCCGGGAGUCAGACGGUGAGUGAUAAGAUCCAUCGUCGAGAGGGCAACAGCCCAGAUCGUCAGCUAAGGUCCCUAAAUGUAAGUUAAGUGGUAAAGGAUGUGGGAUUGCAUAGACAACCAGGAUGUUGGCUUAGAAGCAGCCACUCAUUUAAAGAGUGCGUAAUAGCUCACUGGUCGAGUGAUCCUGCGCCGAAGAUUACCGGGGCUAAAACUUACUACCGAGACUGUGGAUGCCACCAUUAGGUGGCGUGAUAGGAGAGCGUUCUAAGGGCGACGAAGGCAGACCGUGAGGACUGUUGGAGCGCUUAGAAGUGAGAAUGCCGGUAUGAGUAGCGAAAGAUAGGUGAGAAUCCUAUCCACCGUAUGACUAAGGUUUCCAGGGGAAGGUUCGUCCGCCCUGGGUUAGUCGGGACCUAAGCCGAGGCCGAAAGGCGUAGGUGAUGGACAACAGGUUGAGAUUCCUGUACUAGUUAAACUUGUUUGAACAAUGGAGGGACGCAGGAGGCUAAGGAAUGCACCCGAUUGGAAGUGGGUGUCCAAGCCGUAAGUCUGAAGUCGAGUCAAAUGCUUGACUUCUUAAGGACAAGCGGUGAUGGGGAGUGAAAUUUAAGUAACGAAGUUCCUGACGUCACGCUGCCGAGAAAAGCUUCUAGUUAGAGUUUAACUACCCGUACCGCAAACCGACACAGGUGGGUGAGGAGAGUAUCCUAAGGCCAGCGAGAGAACUGUUGUUAAGGAACUCGGCAAAAUGACCCCGUAACUUAGGGAGAAGGGGUGCUGAUCGCAAGAUCAGCCGCAGAGAAUAGGCCCAAGCGACUGUUUACCAAAAACACAGGUUUCUGCUAAGUCGCAAGACGAUGUAUAGGAGCUGACGCCUGCCCGGUGCUGGAAGGUUAAGGGGAUCUGUUAGCGGUAACCGAAGCAGUGAACUUAAGCCCCAGUAAACGGCGGCCGUAACUAUAACGGUCCUAAGGUAGCGAAAUUCCUUGUCGGGUAAGUUCCGACCCGCACGAAAGGCGUAACGAUUUGGGCACUGUCUCAACAACAGACUCGGUGAAAUUGUAAUCCCGGUGAAGAUGCCGGGUACCUGCGACAGGACGGAAAGACCCCAUGGAGCUUUACUGUAGCUUGACAUUGAAUUUUUGUACAGCUUGUACAGGAUAGGUAGGAGCCGUAGAAUCCGGAACGCUAGUUUCGGAGGAGGCGCAAGUGGGAUACUACCCUCGUUGUAUGAACCCUCUAACCCGCGCCACUAAUCGUGGCGGGGGACACUGUCAGGUGGGCAGUUUGACUGGGGCGGUCGCCUCCCAAAGAGUAACGGAGGCGCUCAAAGGUUCUCUCAGCACGGUCGGAAAUCGUGCGUAGAGUGUAAAGGCAGAAGAGAGCUUGAUUGCAAGACAUACAGGUCGAGCAAGGACGAAAGUCGGACUUAGUGAUCCGGUGGUUCCGAUGGAAGGGCCAUCGCUCAACGGAUAAAAGCUACCCUGGGGAUAACAGGCUUAUCUCCCCCAAGAGUUCACAUCGACGGGGAGGUUUGGCACCUCGAUGUCGGCUCAUCACAUCCUGGGGCUGUAGUAGGUCCCAAGGGUUGGGCUGUUCGCCCAUUAAAGUGGUACGCGAGCUGGGUUCAGAACGUCGUGAGACAGUUCGGUCCCUAUCCGUCGCAGGCGUAGGAAAUUUGAGGAGACCUGUCCUUAGUACGAGAGGACCGGGAUGGACGUACCUCUGGUGUACCAGUUGUUCUGCCAAGGGCAUGGCUGGGUAGCUAUGUACGGAUGAGAUAAACGCUGAAAGCAUCUAAGUGUGAAACUCGCCUCAAGAUGAGAUUUCCCAUUGCCUUCGGGCAAGUAAGACCCCUGAGAGAUGAUCAGGUAGAUAGGCUAGAAGUGGAAGUGUAGCGAUACAUGGAGCGGACUAGUACUAAUCGGUCGAGGACUUAACCAAG